GAGUUUGAUCGUGCUCAGAUUGAACGCUGGCGGCAUGCCUUACACAUGCAAGUCGAACGGCUAGCACGGGAGCUUGCUCCUGGUGGCGAGUGGCGAACGGGUGAGUAAUGCAUCGGAACGUAUCCUGGAGUGGGGGAUAACGUAGCGAAAGUUACGCUAAUACCGCAUAUUCUGUGAGCAGGAAGGCGGGGGACCUUCGGGCCUCGCGCUCUUGGAGCGGCCGAUGUCGGAUUAGCUAGUUGGUGAGGUAAAGGCUCACCAAGGCGACGAUCCGUAGCAGGUCUGAGAGGAUGAUCUGCCACACUGGAACUGAGACACGGUCCAGACUCCUACGGGAGGCAGCAGU
rnacentral:rRNA from 1 species